rnacentral:misc_RNA from 1 species
AAUAAACCAAAUUAUGAGAUCUUUUCAGCUAAAGUAACAGAUGCACUCGUAUAUGUCACUGCUUGCCCUCUGUAUACCAAUCUACCUUUUAUUUUAAUCCAUUUUUGCAAAUGGCUAGCUUAGAAUCAUAGCAUCUAGAUCAAAGAAGAGAGCAAUCUAAUUUUGUCACCAGAUUCAGCAGGCUGUUCUGAUAAGAAAGGUAACGAGUAGUAUUACUAAUGUAGGCAUCAUAGCGAGCCAAGGGCUGAUGGGAAACAAAAGCACUGGCUUUCUGAGAUGCCGGUUUGUUAUCAGAUCCUCUACCGUACCAUGCAGGAGACACUAUCCGAGAUUCUCUUUAUAGACAUACGAACUCAGUAGUUUUGUCUGCAGAGGACCUUAU